rnacentral:rRNA from 1 species
CAGAACGAACGCUGGCGGCGUGCUUAACACAUGCAAGUCGAACGCGAAAGGACUUCGGUCCUGAGUAAAGUGGACGCACGGGUGAGUAACGCGUAGAUAACCUGUCUUUAUGUCUGGAAUAAUACGCCGAAAGGGGUACUAAUACCGGAUAUUUUUGCAUUGCAUAAGCAGUGUAAGCAAAGGUGGCCUCUGACAUAAGCUACUGCAUAAAGAGGGGUCUGCGUACCAUUAGCUAGUAGGUGGGGUAAAGGCCUACCUAGGCUACGAUGGUUAGCGGGUCUGAGAGGAUGAUCCGCCACACUGGCACUGGAACACGGGCCAGACUCCUACGGGAGGCAGCAGUGAGGAAUAUUGCGCAAGUGGGGGCCAACCCUGACGCAGCGACGCCGCGUGAGUGAAGGGAAGGCCGUUCGGGUACGUAAAGCUCUGUACGAAAGGGAAAGAAGUGCAUGGUGGUUAAUACCUGCCAUGUUUGACGGUACCCUUAAAGGAAGCACCGGCUAACUCCGUGCCAGCAGCAGC